rnacentral:rRNA from 1 species
AACAUUUUUAAAUAAAAAAAAAUUAAAUAUUUUAAUGGGGGUUAAAGUAUUUUAAUAGAAAUAAUUUAAAAAUUUAUAGUGAAUUAGUAUUGUAAAAGAAUUUUGAAAUAAAUGAAAAAAAAAUUAAUAAAAAGUAAUUUUUAUUUAAUGUAUCUUGUGUAUCAGAGUUUAUUAAUAAAUAUAUUAAGAAUAUAAUAAUUCUCGAAUUUAAGAGAGAUAAUUAAUUAAAAAAGUUAUUGUGGUAAAAAUAUUUUAAAUAAUUAAUUGGAAAUGAAAUGUUAAAUCGUUCUUAAAUAUAUCUAGUUUUUUUAGAAAAAAAUUUAAUUUAAAAUUUAUGAAAAAUUUAUUAAUUAAUUAAUUAAUUAAUACAAUAUUUAAAUUUAAUAAUUUAAGGGAUAAUCUUUAAUUUAAAUAAAUAUAAUAAAUAAAAUAAAAAUUAAUUGAAAAUUAUAUAAUUUAAAUUGUUAAUAAAUUUUAAUUUAUUAUAAAUAAUUUCAUUUAAAUUAAAAUUUAAUAGAAAAAUUUAUUUUUUUAUAAAAAAAAAAUUUUUAAUUAUAUAAAAUUAAAUAUAAUGAUAAAAUUAGUAUAUUUAUGUUAUAAAAAAAAAUAAAAUAAAAAUUAAGUAAUUAAAAGGAAUUCGGCAAAAAUUUAUGUUCACUUGUUUAACAAAAACAUGUCUUUUUGAAAAUAAUAUAAAGUCUAAUCUGCCCACUGAUUUUUAAUUAAAGGGCUGCAGUAUAUUGACUGUACAAAGGUAGCAUAAUCAUUAGUCAUUUAAUUGAUGACUUGUAUGAAAGAUUGGAUGAAAUAUAAACUGUCUCUUAAUUAAAUUAUAGAAUUUAAUUUUUUAGUUAAAAAGCUAAAAUAAAUUAAAAAGACGAGAAGACCCUAUAGAGUUUUAUAUUUAAUUGAAUUUAAAUUAUUUUUAAAAUUAAAAAUUUAAAUUUAAUUAAAUAUUUUGUUGGGGUGAUAGAAAAAUAAAAAUAACUUUUUUUUUAAUAAAACAUAAAUAAGUGAAAAUAUGAUCCAAUUUUAUUGAUUAUAAGAAAAAAUUACCUUAGGGAUAACAGCGUAAUUUUUUUUUUUAGUUCAAAUAAGAAAAAGAGUUUGCGACCUCGAUGUUGGAUUAAGAUAAAAAUUAAAUGCAGAAGUUUAAAUUUUUUGAUCUGUUCGAUCAUUAAAAUCUUACAUGAUCUGAGUUCAAACCGGUGUGAGCCAGGUUGGUUUCUAUCUUUUAAAAAAUAAAAUAUUUUAGUACGAAAGGAUUAAAUAUUUAAAUUAAAUUUAAAAAAAAUGAAUUUUAUUAAUUUUAAUU